CAGAAAGGGUCCUCUCCCCAUGGCCACCGCAGCUAGGAAUAUGCGGAGUCACACUUGAAGCCAGCACAGCACUGGGUCACACCCAAGGCUUGCAAUGACUGAAAUCACAAGAAGCAAAACUGUGGAUGAGAGCAAGUACAUUAAUAUAUUUUGUCACCUUCAAACAAAGUUGCUCUUCCGAGCACUGAAGCAAAGCAUGUCCUGGCUCAAAAGGCCCUCAUUUAAAACCACAGCUACAGUCCGGUCUCAUGAAGAUGCUCGGCUGCUUGAGCGACCUUUCUUUAUAUUUCAUAAGUUCAUCUUUGCCUCAAAGACUGGUUUCUCAUUGGUGAAAUUAAAGCUUGAAGUGGCUCUUCUCCAAAGAUCCUUUUACAAUUUUACUUGCUGGCAAAUAUUCUCAAACAAAUGUCUUCAGGAAAAAUUGCCAGCUUAAGAGAUUCCUGACAC
rnacentral:lncRNA from 1 species